rnacentral:rRNA from 1 species
UAUACCUACGGGACGCAGCAGUGGGGACUAUUGGGCAAUGGGCGCAAGCCUGACCCAGCAACGCCGCGUGAAGGAAGAAGGCUUUCGUGUUGUAAACUUCUUUUAUCAGGGACGAAGCAAGUGACGGUACCUGAUGAAUAAGCCACGGCUAACUACAUGCCAGCAGCCGCGGUCAUACGUAGGUGGCAAGCGUUAUCCGGAUUUACUGGGUGUAAAGCGCGUGUAGGCGG